rnacentral:rRNA from 1 species
CAGUCGCCACGGUAAUACAGAGGUCUCAAGCGUUGUUCGGAUUCAUUGGGCGUAAAGGGUGCGUAGGUGGCGGUGUUAGUCUAACGUGAAAUCUCGGGGCUCAACCUCGAAAUUGCGUCGGAUACUGCAUUGCUAGAGGAUUGUAGAGGAGAGUGGAAUUCAUGGUGUAGCAGUGAAAUGCGUAGAUAUCAUGAGGAAGACCAGUUGCGAAGGCGACUCUCUGGGCAAUUCCUGACACUGAGGCACGAAGGCUAGGGGAGCAAACGGGAUUAGAUACCCCCGUAGUCCCUGUCUCUUAUAA